rnacentral:rRNA from 1 species
GUCCACGCCCUAAACGAUGGAUACUAGUUGUCAGGAUACCUAAUAGUCUUGGUAACGAAGUUAACACAUUAAGUAUCCCGCCUGGGAAGUACGGUCGCAAGAUUAAAACUCAAAGGAAUUGACGGGGCCGCACAAGCGGUGGAGUAUGUGGUUUAAUUUCGAUGCUACGCGAAAAACCUUAACCUUAGAUUUGUACAUCCCGCCGCUAGCCUGGGAAACCGAGGGGUUCGUCUUCGGAGACGCGGUGACAGGUGCUGCAUGGCUGUCGU